UACGUAGGGUGCGAGCGUUGUCCGGAUUUAUUGGGCGUAAAGGGCUCGUAGGCGGCUUGUCGCGUCUGCUGUGAAAUCCCGGGGCUUAACCCCGGGCGUGAAGUGGAUACGGGCAGGCUGGAGGCAGGCAGGGGAGAACGGAAUUCCCGGUGUAGCGGUGAAAUGCGCAGAUAUCGGGAGGAACACCGGUGGCGAAGGCGGUUCUCUGGGCCUUACCUGACGCUGAGGAGCGAAAGCGUGGGGAGCGAACAGGAUUAGAAACCCGCGUAGUCC
rnacentral:rRNA from 1 species